rnacentral:lncRNA from 1 species
GGAGCCUGGAGGGGUGGGAGGAAGGGGCAGUCAGAGGCCAGGUUCUGAGGUCUUGCCUCUUACUAGAAGCUCAGAUUCUCAGAGGCGGUGGAACAGCGGCAGGUGGCACAGCGGGGUGGCUUUGGAGGCUGGGCCCACCCUUCUCAGGGGUGAGACUGGGAUGCUGGAAGCUCUUCUGGGAGUCUCCCCGGAGUAACAAGGCACAGUGGGGGCUGGCUUCGAACUAGCUUAGGAAUGUUUCCAGACCAAAGGACCAAGUUAGUGACCUCCCCAACUUCAUAUUUACUGUGCUUCUGGUGGAGGGGCCUCCGGGAUUCUUGUUGUGCCUGGCAGUGACCCUCCCACCAUGACCCUGUGCCUGGGAGAGAGCCCCACUAUGGCCUGUGCCUGGGAGCAACUCUGGAACACUGAGGGAUCAGCUCUGCAGAAGCGGAAUCAUCCUCAGCCACAUUCUGCGAUUCUGGGAGCAUCAGGGGGGCCUUUUGUUGGGAAGGUUGUUUUGCUUUUGGUCCUUCCUGCCAUUGGCUACAAUGGCGACUCAUGAGUAAGCUGAGAACGGUUAAAAGAAACAAAGACUGGUCCAGUGGCUUUUGCACACCUCCACUCCCCCGACAGACAGUGUCUCUCAAAAGCUUUUCUAAGGACCGCUGAGCGCCCACAUCAGCAUUAGUGAGCAGACCGAGCCAAAAAUGCAGAUCUCAGUCCCAGCCUAGGCCUGGACCAGAAUCUCUAGGGAGAGGGUCUGUAAAUUCGCACUUGAACAGGUUUCCCGUGGCAUUCAGAUGUACAUUUAUGCAGGGAUCCUCAAACUUGCCGCUCAGCAGAACCACCUGGAGAGUUUCUAACAACCCGACACCAGGCUGGGCCUGUGCCAGUGACUGUCAGGGUGGAACCAGGCCUCGGGACUUUUGAAAUGCCCCAGGCGAUUCCCAGGUGCAGCCAAGGUUGAGAUCAGUGCUCUGCCUUCAGUGCUUCUCAAAUUUAUGUGCAUGCAGAUCACCUGCAGGUCCGGAUAAAAUGCAGACUCCUGCUCAGUAAGUCUGGGUGGGGCCCAAGAGUCAUUCCUGUUAUGGAGCUCCCAGGCCUGCUGCUUCUGGGGUUUGCAGACCCCACGUGGAGCAUCAGGGCCCUCACCGGCUGACCCACUGCUUCAGACAGCAAGCUGUUCAAAGACAACUCCAUGCUGGGAGCUGAUUAUGAUACCACAGUCUCUAGGAUGAAGCUCACAAAAGGCCAUUAGGAUCGAUGUCUUAGAAGAGCAUCUCCAAUCCGUGCCCUCCUCUGUGCAGCCCCCCGGGACAUAGUUGUAUAUUCUUCGUUGUGGAUCCUUCUAGUUGUGGCAUGUGGGAUGCUCCCUCAGCGUGGUUUGAUGAGUAGUGCCAUGUCCAUGCCCAGGAUUCAAACCAAUGAAACACUGGGCUGCCUGCAGCGGAGCGCACAAACUUAACCACUCGGCCAUGGGGCUGGCCCCCCUCCUACUUUUUAACAUGUAAGAUUAGGCUGUUUUCUUUGGAAGGAAGUCGCAAUGAGCAGCCCUCUCUUAAGGAAUAGAGGGGUAUACAGAGGAGAAAAUGAUAUGAUGACAGAGCAAAGAGAGAUUUGCAGAUGCUGGCCUCGAAGAUUAUAGAAAAGUGACCACAAGCCAAGGGUUACUGGCAGCCACCAAAAGCUGGAUCAGGCUGUCUUCUAGAGACUCUGGACAGAGGGUGGCCCUACGACACCUUGAUUCCAGCCCAGUGAUAUUGAUUGCGGACUUCUGGCUUCCAGAACUGUAAGAGAACACAUUUUUGUUUCUCCAAGCCACCCAGUUUGUAUAAUUUGUUGCAACAGCCACUGGAAACUAUUAAUCAUUUAUUUACAUUGAUAUGAACACAUGAAUAUUUUAUUUGUAUUAUGGGUUAUAAUCCAAUGUUACUUGUUUUAUUGCUUAAAUCAUUCAAGUUUUGGAUAUUGGGAUCUCUUCCAUUUGGCUUCUGGGCCUCUUUGGCGUACCCCGUUGUCUUAGUCCAUUCGAGACGCUAUAACAAAACUACUGUGGACUGGGCGACUUACACAGCAAGCAUUUCUUUCUGACAGUUCUGGAGGCUGGAAGUCCAAGACCAAGGUGUGGGCGGCUUUGGUGUCUGAUGAGGGUCUGCUUCCAAUGCAUCGAAGGUCGUUGUCUCACUGUAUCUUCACAUGAUGGAAAGAGCGUGAGACAACUCCCUGGGGUCUCUUUUAUAGGGCACCGAUCCCAUUUGUGACAGCUCCAUCCUUACGCCCUAAUCACUUCCCAAAACCUCUACCUCCUAAGACCAUCAAACUGAGGGUAGUAUUUCAAUAUGUGAAUUUUGGGGGGACACAAACAUUCAGUGUAUAACAUCCAUCAAUGUGGAUUUUGUUGAGCACUUCCUUCCUUUGGGGGACUGCAAGAUGCUUCAGGUUGAUCUCGUGCAUAUCCUCUUCCAUAGAAUCAUCCAUUUCUCCAAGGAGCCCUGGUUCCUUUUAAUGGUUUAUGAUAUUGGAAAUAAAGACUCAGGGGCUAGGUGUCCUUAUUGCUCCUAGAGUGUCAUUUCUUUUAGCCCCUCCAGCUGACAGAGCAAGGAAAAUAUGUAUGUGUAGUAACCUAUGUGUAUACACAUUUCCACUAAUACUUCUGUAUGUAAACGUAUGUAUCUAUAUUAGACUAAACAUGUGUUCUUACUGAUGUGAAACGCUGAUCCAUUACUUCACAAAUCAUUCUCCCUCCUCCCCUUCUUACCUGAAAAUUCCCUCUCUCACAGGGAGAAGCCAAGUUCCCACCUUUAUCAUUUGUUUGCUUAAUCAUUCAGUUCCGCUAUACAGGUGUAGCAUUAUCUGAACUGUUCAUGAGCAUCCUUGUGGGACACAACUCUAUCAAGUAGAGCACAGUGCUUAUGUGCAAGGUCUUUGCCUACAGUCUUACAGAAUCCAUUCGUUCCCAAAGUUGCUUAUGACAGCACAUCCACACCCGCCUUCAGUGAGGUUGUUUCCUAUAUUUGUAAUGCAAAUAGAUUCUCUUGUCACAGUCUGGAUUCCUUCCUAGGCUCUCUAAGACUUGUUUUUAAUUUGCACACAUUAAGGACCACUCUUUGUGCUCUAAAAUUCUAUGCUGCAAAUGCGUCUAUUAUAGUAUCAUGUGGAAUACUUUGACACCCUAAAAACCCCCUGUGUUUCAUUUAUUCAAUCUUCUCCCCUUCCCAAUACCCUAGCAACCACUGACUUUUUUUCUAUCUCUACAGUUUUGUCUUUUCCAGAACAUCAUAUAAUUGGGAUCAUACAGUAUGGAGUCUUUUCUUACUGACUUCUUUCACUUCGCAAUA